rnacentral:rRNA from 1 species
AUGAACGACACGCUUACUGCUCCUAUCACUGAUGAAGAGAUGCAUGUGGCUCUGUUCCAAAUGGGGCCAACGAAGGCGCCCGGUUCGGACGGGCUUCCGGCUCUUUUCUACCAGCGGCACUGGCCGCAGGUCCGUGAGGAUGUGUGUCGAGCUGUGAGGGAUUUCUUGGGUGGUGUGGCCGCCCCGGAGGAUUUUAAUGAUACCGUCAUUGUCAUGAUUCCCAAGACCAACUCACCGGAGUUGUUGUCUCAGUUCAGACCAAUUAGUUUGUGCAACGUGCUUUAUAAGAUUGCAACUAAAGUAUUGGCAAAUAGAUUGAAAGGCAUCCUCCCCAUUCUUAUCUUAGAUGAGCAAAGUGUGUUUGUACCGGGACGUCUCAUCACUGACAAUGUCCUUGUUGCGUAUGAGUGUGUUCAUGCCAUACGGACUAGGAAAAGGAAGAAACUGUUGUGUGCGGUAAAACUAGACAUGAUGAAGGCGCAUGAUAGGGUUGAAUGGGUGUUUUUGCAACAGAUGUUAGAGCAGUUUGGUUUUGCACCACAGUGGAUUAUGAUGAUCAUGAGGUGUGUCACCACUGCUAAUUUUUCUGUCAAGAUGAAUGAUGCUUGUUCUAGGAGGUUUUCACCCUCCCGGGGACUACGGUACGGUGACCCGCUCUCUCCAUAUCUCUUCCUAUUUUGUGUUGAGGGUUUCUCAGCACUGUUGAAGAAGGCACAAGAAGACGCUAAGAUCAAAGGGGUGAUGUUUGGGAGCACUGGCCCCCAUGUAACUCACCUCCUUUUUGCGGAUGACAGCAUUGUGUUUUUGGAGGGAUCGAGGGACAAUAUGGAUGCCUUAAAGGAGAUUUUAAAUAGUUAUGAAGCGGCUUCAGGGCAACGUGUGAACUUACAGAAAUCUUCAAUCUUUUUUGGCAAGGGGUGCGGAGAUGAUACAAAGGUAGAGCUGAAGUGUGCACUUGGGAUUGGUUCAGAAGCUCUAAGUGAACGAUAUCUUGGGCUGCCAACACUGGUUGGUCGUUCUAAGGAGGGCACUUUCAAGUAUGUCACGGAAAGUUCCAAGUCAAAAGUGGGUGGCUAUAAGGGCCAAGGUUUGUCCAAAGCGGCGAAGGAGGUUUUGGUGAAAUCCGGACUCCAAGCUGUACCUACUUUCACCAUGAGUUGUUUUCAGCUCACUAAGAAAACAUGCCGGAAUCUGACUUCAAUCUCUUCGAAAUUCUGGUGGGGUGAAUCGAAUGGUGAAAGGAAAGUACAUUGGAUCUCUUGGCAAAAAAUGUGUGCUGCAAAAAGAGUUGGGGGUCUCGGUUUCCGUGAUCCUGAGGGCUUCAACCAAGCUUUACUAGCAAAAUAG